AUGGUUUUGGGUGUCACCAAU
rnacentral:siRNA from 1 species